UACGUAGGGGGCAAGCGUUGUCCGGAAUUAUUGGGCGUAAAGCGCGCGCAGGCGGUCGUUUAAGUCUGGUGUUUAAUCCCGGGGCUCAACCCCGGUACGCACUGGAAACUGGGCGACUGGAGUACAGAAGAGGAAAGCGGAAUUCCACGUGUAGCGGUGAAAUGCGUAGAUAUGUGGAGGAACACCAGUGGCGAAGGCGGCUUUCUGGUCUGUAACUGACGCUGAGGCGCGAAAGCGUGGGGAGCAAACAGG
rnacentral:rRNA from 1 species